GAUGAACGCUGGCGGCGUGCCUAAUACAUGCAAGUCGAGCGAACAGACGAGGAGCUUGCUCCUCUGACGUUAGCGGCGGACGGGUGAGUAACACGUGGAUAACCUACCUAUAAGACUGGGAUAACUUCGGGAAACCGGAGCUAAUACCGGAUAAUAUAUUGAACCGCAUGGUUCAAUAGUGAAAGACGGUUUUGCUGUCACAUAUAGAUGGAUCCGCGCCGCAUUAGCUAGUUGGUAAGGUAACGGCUUACCAAGGCAACGAUGCGUAGCCGACCUGAGAGGGUGAUCUGCCACACUGGAACUGAGACACGGCCCAGACUCCUACGGGAGGCAGCAGUAGGGAAUCUUCCGCAAUGGGCGAAAGCCUGACGGAGCAACGCCGCGUGAGUGAUGAAGGGCUUCGGAUCGUAAAACUCUGUUAUUAUGGAAGAACAAAUGUGUAAGUAACGAUGCACGUCUUGACGGUACCUAAUCAGAAAGCCACGGCUAACUACGUG
rnacentral:rRNA from 1 species